GACGAACGCUGGCGGCGUGCUUAACACAUGCAAGUCGAGCGGUAAGGCCCUUUCGGGGGUACACGAGCGGCGAACGGGUGAGUAACACGUGGGUGACCUGCCCUCAGCUCUGGGAUAAGCCUGGGAAACCGGGUCUAAUACCGGAUAUGACUCCAUGACGCAUGUUGUGGGGUGGAAAGCCUUGUGCGGCUGAGGAUGGGCCCGCGGCCUAUCAGCUUGUUGGUGGGGUGANGGCCUACCAAGGCGACGACGGGUAGCCGGCCUGAGAGGGCGACCGGCCACACUGGGACUGAGACACGGCCCAGACUCCUACGGGAGGCAGCAGUGGGGAAUCUUGCGCAAUGGGCGAAAGCCUGACGCAGCGACGCCGCGUGAGGGAUGACGGCCUGGUUGUAACU
rnacentral:rRNA from 1 species